rnacentral:rRNA from 1 species
AGUGAACGCUGGCGGUAGGCCUAACACAUGCAAGUCGAACGGCAGCACAGUAAGAGCUUGCUCUUACGGGUGGCGAGUGGCGGACGGGUGAGGAAUACAUCGGAAUCUACUUUUUCGUGGGGGAUAACGUAGGGAAACUUACGCUAAUACCGCAUACGACCUACGGGUGAAAGCAGGGGAUCUUCGGACCUUGCGCGAUUGAAUGAGCCGAUGUCGGAUUAGCUAGUUGGCGGGGUAAAGGCCCACCAAGGCGACGAUCCGUAGCUGGUCUGAGAGGAUGACCAGCAACACUGGAACAGAGACACGGUCCAGCCUCCUGCGGAGGGAGGCGGGGGGGAUUAUUGAAGAGGGGGCGAAAGCCUACCCCACCCAUCCCGGGGGGGGGAAGAAGGCCUUGGGUUUGAAAGCCUUUUUUGUGGGAAAAAAAAAGCAGAGGGUAAACCCCCCCUUGUUCUGAGGGACCCAAAAAAAAAACCCCGGCCUACCUUGGGC